GUCGAGAAUCUUCCGCAAUGGACGCAAGUCUGACGGAGCGACGCCGCGUGCGGGAUGAAGGUCUUUGGAUUGUAAACCGCUGUCACGCGUUAUGAAUGCGCGGGGGCCAACACCCCCUGCGUUGACCAAGGCGCGAAAGGAAGACACGGCUAACUCUGUGCCAGCAGCCGCGGUAAUACAGAGGUGUCAAGCGUUGCUCGGUGUCACUGGGCUUAAAGGGCGCGUAGGCUGUGCGGCACGGUUCGGGUGAAAUCCCUCGGCUCAACCGAGGAACUGCCCGGGCGACGGCCGCGCUGGACUGCAUCAGGGGCGGAUGGAACUCCCGGUGGAGCGGUGAAAUGCGUAGAUAUCGGGAGGAACGCCGGUGGCGAAAGCGAUCCGCUGGGGUGCAUGUGACGCUGAGGCGCGAAAGCCAGGGGAGCAAACGGGAUUAGAUACCCGGGUAGUCC
rnacentral:rRNA from 1 species